AGAGUUUGAUCCUGGCUCAGAGUGAACGCUGGCGGCGUGCCUAAUACAUGCAAGUCGAACGGAGAUUAAGUAGCUUGCUAUUUAAUCUUAGUGGCGCACGGGUGAGUAAUAUAUAGCUAAUCUGCCCUACACUAGAGGACAACAGUUGGAAACGACUGCUAAUACUCUAUACUCCUUCUAAGCAUAAGCUUAGUCGGGAAAGUUUUUCGGUGUAGGAUGAGGCUAUAUCGUAUCAGCUAGUUGGUAAGGUAACGGCCUACCAAGGCUAUGACGCGUAACUGGUCUGAGAGGAUGAUCAGUCACACUGGAACUGAGACACGGUCCAGACUCCUACGGGAGGCAGCAGUAGGGAAUAUUGCUCAAUGGGGGAAACCCUGAAGCAGCAACGCCGCGUGGAGGAUGACACUUUUCGGAGCGUAAACUCCUUUUCUUGGGAAAGAAUUAUGACGGUACCCAAGGAAUAAGCACCGGCUAACUCCGUGCCAGCAGCCGCGGUAAUACGGAGGGUGCAAGCGUUACUCGGAAUCACUGGGCGUAAAGGACGCGUAGGCGGAUUAUCAAGUCUCUUGUGAAAUCUAACGGCUUAACCGUUAAACUGCUUGGGAAACUGAUAAUCUAGAGUAAGGGAGAGGCAGAUGGAAUUCUUGGUGUAGGGGUAAAAUCCGUAGAGAUCAAGAAGAAUACCCAUUGCGAAAGCGAUCUGCUGGAACUUAACUGACGCUAAUGCGUGAAAGCGUGGGGAGCAAACAGGAUUAGAUACCCUGGUAGUCCACGCCCUAAACGAUGUAUACUAGUUGUUGCUUCGCUAGUCGAGGCAGUAAUGCACCUAACGGAUUAAGUAUACCGCCUGGGGAGUACGGUCGCAAGAUUAAAACUCAAAGGAAUAGACGGGGACCCGCACAAGCGGUGGAGCAUGUGGUUUAAUUCGAAGAUACGCGAAGAACCUUACCCGGACUUGAUAUCUAACAAAUCAUCUAGAGAUAGAAGAGUGUCUGCUUGCAGAAAUGUUAAGACAGGUGCUGCACGGCUGUCGUCAGCUCGUGUCGUGAGAUGUUGGGUUAAGUCCCGCAACGAGCGCAACCCACGUCAUUAGUUGCUAACAGUUCGGCUGAGCACUCUAAUGAGACUGCCUUCGUAAGGAGGAGGAAGGUGUGGACGACGUCAAGUCAUCAUGGCCCUUAUGUCCGGGGCGACACACGUGCUACAAUGGCAUAUACAAUGAGAAGCAAUAUCGCGAGAUGGAGCAAAUCUAUAAAAUAUGUCCCAGUUCGGAUUGGAGUCUGCAACUCGACUCCAUGAAGCCGGAAUCGCUAGUAAUCGUAGAUCAGCCAUGCUACGGUGAAUACGUUCCCGGGUCUUGUACUCACCGCCCGUCACACCAUGGGAGUUGAUUUCACUCGAAGCCCAAAUACCAAACCGGUUAUGGUCCACAGUGGAAUCAGCGACUGGGGUGAAGUCGUAACAAGGUAACCGUAGGAGAACCUGCGGUUG
rnacentral:rRNA from 1 species